GAUGGAGAACGUAGUGAAAUGCGAUAAGUAAUGUGAAUUGCAGAAUUCAGUGAAUCAUCGAAUCUUUGAACGCACAUUGCGCCCGCCAGUAUUCUGGCGGGCAUGCCUGUUCGAGCGUCAUUUCAACCAUCAAGCCCCCGGCUUGUGUUGGGGACCUGCGGCUGCCGCAGGCCCUGAAAAGCAGUGGCGGGCUCGCUGUCACACCGAGCGUAGUAGAUUUCAUCUCGCUCAGGGCGUGCUGCGGGUUCCGGCCGUUAAACCACCUUCAUAACCCAAGGUUGACCUCGGAUCAGGUAGGAAGACCCGCUGAACUUAAGCAUAUCAAUAAGCGGAGGA
rnacentral:misc_RNA from 1 species